UUUAAGUCCAGCUAUGAGUUUCUGUGUCUACCAUUUGAUCGUCCGCCUCAUUUGAAUUUUUUUAUAAUUAGUAUUUUUAUUGUUAUUAGAUGAUAAAAUAUGAAUAGUACUUUAUGUGUGUUUUUUAAAACUUUUUUAUAAAUUUUUAAAUAAAACAAAUGAUUAAAUGUUGGACACAGAAAUACACAACUACACUUCAA
rfam:Oryza sativa Japonica Group DNA, chromosome 6, cultivar: Nipponbare, complete sequence.